AAAGUCGUAACAAGGUUUCCGUAGGUGAACCUGCGGAAGGAUCAUUACAGUAUUGGCGAACCGAGCUAUAUUAGCGAGGUUUCGCGAUCACUUAUAUUUAAAACCCACACUUUUUAUAUUAUAUAUAUUUUUUUUUUAAAAUGAUAAAAAAAGAUCACUUUCAACAACGGAUCUCUUGGCUCUC
rnacentral:misc_RNA from 1 species